UACGUAGGGUGCGAGCGUUAAUCGGAAUUACUGGGCGUAAAGCGUGCGCAGGCGGUUUUGUAAGCCAGAUGUGAAAUCCCCGGGCUUAACCUGGGAAUGGCAUUUGGGACUGCAAGGCUUGAGUGCGGCAGAGGAGACUGGAAUUCCUGGUGUAGCAGUGAAAUGCGUAGAUAUCAGGAGGAAUACCGAUGGCGAAGGCAGGUCACUGGGCCGCAACUGACGCUGAGGAGCGAAAGCAUGGGGAGCGAACAGG
rnacentral:rRNA from 1 species